UGCAAUGCGAAUGUCAUUUUACCGCCAAAUCUGCAUGUGCAGAAACGGUCGCUCUGCAUUUAUUGCCGCCCGGGCCAGGCCGUGUACACACGUACGUACGCGUACUGUGCAUACUGUGAUGACGUCGCGUCGCGCGUCGGCAGAUGAGUCGAGUCGAGUAUAGUACACGUACGUACGUACGUACGUACGUAUACGACGAGUGUUCAACGGUACAGAUCAGACUUGAUUCGACUACAUGGACUAGGGCGCCUAUCCAUGCUCCGAGUUUAAGUUGGCAACACAAACGUCGGGCAGGUUUGAUGUGCUGAUGUGCUGCGCGCAUAGUCUUGAGAGUGUAAUAUGUAUGGAGUAGUGAUACAUGUAGGUCACUACGAAAGAGUAUUGCAGCCAACAGUCUCCAGGAGUUAAUUGAAAAAGGUAUGUGAAUAUUAUUACUUAUCUUACGAGUCCGAGUGGAACACUGAAUAAUGUAGU